AUGAAAAACCAAACUUCUCCCGCAAGACUGGUUCGCACCAAAUCGCAUCGCCCUUCGAGUCGCCCCUCACUGAUCCCUUCGCGUCCUGCUUCCCAAGCCACAGCCCACAGGCCCCCACGCCCCCACGCCCCCACGCCCAGCUCCUCCCGCUCCGAUUUCACAGCCUGCGAGCUAGCCAUGUCGAUUCGGCCGCUGUUGCUGCCGGAGCCGCCGGGCGAGGUGGAUCGGGCGCCGGAGAUCUUCGCGGGUGGCGUGGCCGCGGUGCGCCGCGCCGUUGUCAUCGGGAACGGCUGCGCCGGCGCCGAGAACCAGUGCCUCGGCCUCGUCCGCGCCCUCGGCCUGGCCGACCGCCUCACCCUCUAUCGUAUUAUCAGGCCAACCGGAGGAAUCAACAAGUGGCUGCACUUUCUCCCUAUCUCCUUGCAUAAAAUGGUGGACCAAGUACUCAGACAUAUACUGUCUAACACGACAUUCACAACACUGUUUCAAGGAAAACUGUCAGCACCUUAUCCUGUCAGUAAUGUUCAAUCUCUUGGGUUGUCUUCUGUACUGGGAGCAGAUUCCAAAAGGAUAGUGACAAUGGUCCGUGAUACCUUCGAGAAGGAAGGCCUGGCGAUAGUUAUUGCUUGUGGCCGUGAUACCAUACCAUAUGCAAGCUCUGUAAGGUGUUUAGCUCCAGAUAAUGUCUUUGUCAUUCAGAUACAACACCCCAGGUAUCGCCUUGAUAGGUUUGAUUUGGUGGUGACUCCUCGCCAUGAUUACUACGCUUUAACUGCAAAGGGACAACAAGAAGUACCGUGGCUUUUCCGGAGAUGGAUUACUCCACGAGAACCACCCGGUCUGAAUGUGGUCCUGACGUCUGGAGCACUUCACCAAGCAGAUUCUGCUGCACUACGCGUUGCUGCUACAAACUGGCAUGAUGAACUUGCUCCCUUGCCAAAGCCAUUGGUAGUAGUAAAUAUUGGAGGACCAACAAGAAACUGUAAUUAUGGUGUAGACCUUGCCAAGCAGUUGGUAAGCUCACUGCACAAUGUUUCAGAGACCUGUGGAAGUGUCAGAAUUUCAUUUUCCAGGAGAACGCCACAAAAGGUGUCCGAUCUUAUAUUGAGAGAGUUCAGCACACAUCCAAAGUUCUACAUUUGGGGCGGUGAAGAACCUAACCCACACCUAGGGCAUCUUGCAUGGGCCGAUGCUUUCAUCAUAACAGCAGACUCGAUAAGUAUGCUAAGUGAGGCGUGCAGCACUGGGAAGCCGGUCUAUGUCGUUGGAACUGAGCAUUGCAGGUGGAAAUUCUCAGAUUUUCACAACACUCUGCAGAAACGAGGGGCUGUUCGUCCUUUCACUGGAUCGGAAGAUAUGUCAGACAGCUGGAGCUACCCUCCUCUGAACGAUGCCAUUGAUGUGGCUGCACGGGUUCGUGAAGUGCUUGCACAACGUGGAUGGACAGUGGGUUAA
rnacentral:rRNA from 1 species